rnacentral:rRNA from 1 species
AUUGAACGCUGGCGGAAUGCUAUACACAUGCAAGUCGAACGGCAGCACGGACUUCGGUCUGGUGGCGAGUGGCGAACGGGUGAGUAAUGUAUCGGAACGUGCCCAGUCGUGGGGGAUAACGUAGUGAAAAUUACGCUAAUACCGCAUACGAUCUAUGGAUGAAAGCGGGGGAUCGCAAGACCUCGCGCGAUUGGAGCGGCCGAUAUCAGAUUAGGUAGUUGGUGGGGUAAAGGCCCACCAAGCCAACGAUCUGUAGCUGGUCUGAGAGGACGAGCAGCCACAAUGGAACGGAUAAACGGUCCAGAAUCCUACGGGAGGCAGCAGUGGGGAAUUUUGGACAAUGGGCGAAAGCCUGAUCCAGCCAUUCCGCGUGCAGGAUGAAGGCCCUCGGGUUGUAAACUGCUUCUGUACAGAACGAAAAGGUUUCUACUAAUACUAGGAGCUCAUGACGGUACUGUAAGAAUAAGCACCGGCUAACUACGUGCCAGCCGCCGCCGUAA